rnacentral:rRNA from 1 species
GAGCCGAAAAACGAAGAUAGCUUGCUAUCAGGCGUCGAGCGGCGGAGGGGUGAGUAAUACUUAGGAAUCUACCUAAUAAUGGGGGAUACCUCGGGGAAACUCGAAUUAAUACCGCAAACUUCCUACGGGAAAAAGCGGGGGAUCAUUAGACCUUGCGCUAUUAAAUGACCCUAAGUCGGAUUACCUAUAUGGUGGGGUAAGGGCCUACCGGGGCCACAAUCUGUAACUGGUCUGAAAGGAUGAUCACCCACCCCGGGACUGAGACCCGGCCCGGACCCCUACGGGAGGCAGCAGGGGGGAAUAUGGAACAUUGGGGGGAACCCUGAUCCACCCAUGCCGCGUGUGUGAAAAAGGCCUUUUGGUUGUAAACCAUUUUACUCUGUGAAAAAGACUCUUCGGUUAAUACCCGGGGACGAUGACUUUAUCUGCAAAAUAACCACCGGCUAUCUCUGUGCCACCAGCCGCGGUAAUACAAGGGGUGCAAGCGUUAAUCGAAAUUACGGGGCGUAAAGCGAGCGUAGGUGGCUUGAUAACUCAUAUGUGAAAUCCCCGGCCUUACCCUGGGAACUGCAUCUGAAAUUGUUACGCUAGAGUAUGUGAGAGGAAAAAAAAAUUUCGGGUGUACCGGUGACGUGCAUAUAUAUCUGAAGGAAUACCGAUGGCGAGGGCAUUUUCCUGUUUUCAUACUGACACUGACGCUCAAAGCGUGGGUAUCAAACAGGAAUAGAUACCCUGGUACUCGGCGCCCUACACGAUGUCUACUACUCUUGGGUCCCGUGAGGAUUUAGUCACUCCUCUCACACAUAAGAAUACCGCUUGGGGAGUA